rnacentral:rRNA from 1 species
UACCAGCUCUCCGAGUGGUAGGGAUGAUUAUUGGGCUUAAAGCGUCCGUAGCCGGCUUGGCAAGUUUCCUGUUAAACUCUGCGACUUAAUCGUUGAAUCGCGGGAAAUACUACUAGGCUAGGAGGCGGAAGAGGUCAACGGUACUUCUGGGGUAGGGGUGAAAUCCUAUAAUCCCGGGAGGACCACCAAGUGGCGAAGGCUGUUGACUAGAACGCGCUCGACGGUGAGGGACGAAAGCUGGGGGAGCGAACCGGAUUGGAUACCCGGGUAGUCCCAGCUGUAAACGAUGCGGGCUAGGUGUUGGGAUGGCUACGUGCCAUUUCAGUGCCGCAGGGAGCCAUUAAGCCCGCCGCCUGGGGGAUACGGCCGCAAGGCUGAAACUUAAAGGAAUUGGGCGGGGGAGCACCACAAGGCGUGAAGCUUGCGGUUC